AACAACUCACCUGCCGAAUGAACUAGCCCUGAAAAUGGAUGACGCUUAAGCGGGUUGCCGAAACCGGACCGUUUCGAUAAGAUGCGAUCGAAAUGAGUAGGAGGGCGUGGCGGUUUUGUAGUGAAGGAUGAGACGCAAGUCUAUCUGAAACGGCCGCUAGUGCAGAUCUUGGUGGUAGUAGCAAAUAUUCAAGCGAGAUCCUUGAAGGGCGAAGCGGGGAAGGGUUCCACGCGAACAUUGAUUGGGCGUGGGUGAGUCGUUCCUAAGCCGGGUGGUAAUCGUUCUUCGAUCGGCGAAAGGGAAGCGGGUUAAAAUUCUCGCACACGGAUGUGGAAGCGGUGACGCAAAUUGAGGUGGAGACGUUAGCGGUGGCACUGGGCAGAGUUUUCUUUUCUGUUUAAUCUGAGUUGCACUCUGUGAAAUCCGAUUAUCGGGCGAAACAGGUGCCAACGAGCAUAGCGUCGGGGUGUCCCUGACGUCCAGUAUGCCACCGAUAGCCCUUGAAAAUCCAUCUGCAAUGAAAUUUCACGCCGUGGCGUACCGAUCACCGCAUCAGGUCCCCAAGGUGAACAGCCUCUGCUCAAUAUGAACAAU
rnacentral:rRNA from 1 species